rnacentral:rRNA from 1 species
UACGUAGGGUGCGAGCGUUAAUCGGAAUUACUGGGCGUAAAGCGUGCGCAGGCGGUUUUGUAAGCCAGAUGUGAAAGCCCCGGGCUUAACCUGGGAAUGGCAUUUGGGACUGCAAGGCUGGAGUGUGGCAGAGGAGACUGGAAUUCCUGGUGUAGCAGUGAAAUGCGUAGAUAUCAAGAGGAACACCAGUGGCGAAGGCGAGUCCCUGGACAAUUCCUGACACUGAGGCACGAAAGCCAAGGGAGCAAACAGG